rnacentral:rRNA from 1 species
CUACGGGGUCGCAGCAGUGAGGAAUAUUGCACAAUGGGGGGAACCCUGAUGCAGCAACGCCGCGUGGAGGAUGACGCAUUUCGGUGUGUAAACCCCUUUUAUAUGUCAAGAAAAUGACGGUAGCAUAUGAAUAAGCACCGGCUAACUCCGUGCCAGCAGCCGUGGUAAUACGGAGGGUGCAAGCGUUACUCGGAAUCACUGGGCGUAAAGGACGCGUAGGCGGGUUGGAAAGUCAGGUGUGAAAUCCUACAGCUUAACUGUAGAACUGCACUUGAAACUUCUAAUCUAGAGUAUGGGAGGGGGAGAUGGAAUUAGUGGUGUAGGGGUAAAAUCCGUAGAUAUCACUAGGAAUACCUAAAGCGAAGGCGAUCUCCUGGAACAUUACUGACGCUAAGGCGUGAAAGCGUGGGGAGCAAACAGGAUUAGAUACCCUCGUAGUC